CAACUCAAACGAGGGGACAGUGUUGUGCUACCACGUGUCUAAUUCAAUUCCUGUCUGGUCGGGUGGCCCCAAGAUGAGGGAGAGAGACAGGCUGUCUGUGGUCUGAGUGUCCUUUGCUUGUUGGCAGGCAGACCUCUGGACCCAGAAACACCUGGCUUGAAUACUGGAGGUAUAGAUUUCUAGAAUCAGCAUGGCGGGGGGGUUGUCUCCUGGGAAGCUGGGCUUCAGGUCAUGAAUGGGGUGUGUCCGUGCGGUUGUAUUUGGGGGCGGGGGUGGACUAUGCUCAUGGCGGGCUCUGUCCAUCAGAAGGAGCCAGAGUAACUGGAGAGCCCCUCCCCACCAACACCUCUCCCCCCUUGUAGCACUGUGGCUGCGUCGCCAGGCUCAGACACGGGGUGCAAAAUGAUUGGUGGCCCAAUGUGCCUCAACUCAGAGAUGAUCCAGAUUCCACCAUCACGUCUUGGGUUCAUUCUCUGCAUGAGCGGGUAGCCCAAUGGCUAGAGAGUUUGAUAGGCGGCCUGGGGCCUGCGUGCCCUUUGCUUGUUUGAAGUACAACACUGGACCCAGAAAUCCCUGGCUUCGAUAUUGGGUAUGCAGUGGUUUAGCAUCAGGCUGGUGUGAUAAUUUGGCUUUAGGAGAUCUGGGCUUUGGGUCAUGAAUAUAACACAUCAGGCCACGGGUAUUGUGGGAGUGGGUCUCAGCCUCUCCCUGUGCCUUUCUCUCUAGAUAUCGCCACCUCCUCCUUCCUCCUGCUCCACCUGAGCCUCUGCUUCCUCUGCGGAGAACCUUGUGCCCAGGAAUCCACCUAAAUCCAGAUAUCGCCACCUCCUCCUUCCUCCUGCUCCACCUGAGCCUCUGCUUCCUCUGCGGAGAACCUUGUGCCCAGGAAUCCACCUAAAUCCAGGUAAAGUGAAUGAUGCCAGGGAGGUCGUGGAUCUCAAGCGAGGUGCCAGGGCUGAGGGUGCUGAUUGCUGGCAACUGGCCUCUGUUACCUUACCAAGCGGGGUGUCUGAUUCAGGGAGCGGGGUGGUCUCAUGUGGGGUGAGUGUCCUGGCCGACUUUGAGAUAGUCCUAAUGCCACCCAUCUGGCAUUUCAGUGUGCUGCAAGGGAGAGGAGUAAGGAAAUUGGGCUGGCAAGUGGCCCAGGCCAGUGCAGACCAGGCUUCUGCUAUGAGAGGCGGAGGAAGGGCUGAGAGUUGCUAUUAGAGCACAUGCCCACCAGCGGGCACCA
rnacentral:lncRNA from 1 species